rnacentral:ncRNA from 1 species
GCUGGCGAAUUGCAAUGUCAUUUUGCGUGGGGAUAAAUCAUUUGUAUACGACUUAGAUGUACAACGGGGUAUGUAAGCAGUAGAGUAGCCUUGUUGUUACGAUCUGCUGAGAUUAAGCCUUUGUUGUCUGAUUUGU